GUCCACGCGAAGAACCUUACCCAGGCUUGAACAGCGAGUGACCACUUCCGAAAGGAAGCUUCCGCAAGGACACUCGUAGAGGUGAUGCAUGGCUGUCG
rnacentral:rRNA from 1 species